rnacentral:rRNA from 1 species
GACGAACCGAGCGAACGUUGUUCGGAAUCACUGGGCUUAAAGGGCGCGUAGGCGGGCUGUCAAGUCUGGGGUGAAAUCCCGCGGCUCAACCGUGGAACUGCCUUAGAUACUGACGGCCUCGAGGGAGGUAGGGGCGAGCGGAACUGUGAGUGGAGCGGUGAAAUGCGUUGAUAUUCACAGGAACUCCGGUGGCGAAGGCGGCUCGCUGGACCACAACUGACGCUGAGGCGCGAAAGCUAGGGGAGCAAACAGG